AGACUUUGGAGGUGGAAGAGAAGCCAUCACCAGUGGAUUGUUCAGUUCAAAUGGAAGUGGCAAAAGCCGUGGAGGCUCUCAGAGUGGAUUAGGCAGAGUGACGAAACACUUGUCAGGACUAAACCUCGUCAUAAGGCUCUGCCUAAUAAGAUCAUGUGAUAUCUAGUUGCUUGAGAGAACUGUGUUUUUUUUAGUGUCCAAGCUCUCUGUACCUGUGAAUGUGUGCAGGUAAUCAAUCUUUCCUAAGAUUAUUCAAGCAACUUAUAGGAGGAUUGUCUUUUUCUAACGAAGAUCAAACUCAUGCACUAGCAGAAACUGGACUUGCUUCCGUGUGAUAUUGGAGACGCACUAGGACGAGGGGUCGCUUGUUGUAGGUAAAAGAUAGCAGAAGGCUUAUUAGAACUCAAGAAUGUUCUUUUUUUCAUGUUGAUAGAAUUGACAUCUUAUACAUCACUAAUGGAACUAAAACUCAUCUUCAAGUUGCAUAUAAUUAUUUGUAUGAAGAAUUUACCAGUUUAUUUGUUUUUUUUUGGUUUUGUUGUAAAUGAUAACAUAUAAAAAGCACAAAAAAAAGUUUAGAGAUACAUAUGAUUCAGUGUCUUUCCUCCAAGCUUUUAUUGAUAAGCAUAAGAAACAUUACAAGUCCAUAAGAUGAUGAGUUAUGAAAUAGCAUCAUUCUUGUAUCACAUAUUACUACACCAGUACGCAUAGUGUUCAUCUCUCCUAUGGAUGCUCACAAGACCACCGCAUUUCAGACAGAUAAAGCUGCUACCGUCAGCAAAGGCAUCAAGCAUGAUCUGUGACCUCCCGCUUUUCUCCAGAAUAGAUAUCCCAUGAGCAUCCGCCGUAACUCUCUCUUUGGUACUACCAAAUAAGUCUGCUGAUGUUGGCUGGUGCCCAAGAGGCUCUGCUUCUGUAAUGGCACACUCCGCAAAUAAAGAAGCCAGCUGAUCUACGCUGGCUGUUUCUUGGAUUGUACGCUUGUAAAGCUCACGGGUACGGUUGAGUAUGUGAAGUACCGCCUCGUCUCCUCCUUGGGUCCUCAUUGCCAUCACCACCUGUUCAGAACAAGAUCACCAAGGGUCAAUGCAGAGCAUACACAUAAAGUGUCUAUACACUUAUCGACAGAGCGAGUCUUGAGGAGAUCAAAAGAGUAACAAAUCAACGAACCCUACAUCAAAGUUGAAAGCUUUUUUUAAGUAUGGAAACAAACAGACUUGGUAUCAUUCUAAUCGUGCUUAGUUUAGUUUUGGUUGGCGAAAUAAAUCCUGAAAUAUAAAACGUUGGUAUAGGGAACCCCACCGAGCUCAGUGAAACAUUUAGCUGAAGACAUGAUCACACCUUCUACAACGACUCUGCCAGCACAGAAACAGCUCAAGUUCACUCCGGGGAUUGCUAACGGCAAAGUGAGAGACUCUGCUGCAUUUAUUAAUACAAACAAUAAGGUUAAGUGAUGGGAUUAUGAUACAGGCUUUACUUUAGGGAUGUAAGAUUCUUAUGUACUUUUUUGAUUGGUGCAGAUGGUACCAAUGGGACAAGUAUCAAUGAGAAAACUAGCAGCCGUGGGACAACGGAGUGGGAGACUUUGGAGGUGGAAGAGAAGCCAUCACCAGUGGAUUGUUCAGUUCAAAUGGAAGUGGCAAAAGCCGUGGAGGCUCUCAGAGUGGAUUAGGCAGAGUGACGAAACACUUGUCAGGACUAAACCUCGUCAUAAGGCUCUGCCUAAUAAGAUCAUGUGAUAUCUAGUUGCUUGAGAGAACUGUGUUUUUUUUAGUGUCCAAGCUCUCUGUACCUGUGAAUGUGUGCAGGUAAUCAAUCUUUCCUAAGAUUAUUCAAGCAACUUAUAGGAGGAUUGUCUUUUUCUAACGAAGAUCAAACUCAUGCACUAGCAGAAACUGGACUUGCUUCCGUG
rnacentral:lncRNA from 1 species